rnacentral:rRNA from 1 species
GACGAACGCUGGCGGCGUGCUUAACACAUGCAAGUCGAACGGAAAGGCCCUGCUUUUGUGGGGUGCUCGAGUGGCGAACGGAUGGGUAACACGUGAGUAACCUGCCCUUGACUUUGGGAUAACUUCAGGAAACUGGGGCUAAUACCGGAUAGGAGCUCCUGCUGCAUGGUGGGGGUUGGAAAGUUUCGGCGGUUGGGGAUGGACUCGCGGCUUAUCAGCUUGUUGGUGGGGUAGUGGCUUACCAAGGCUUUGACGGGUAGCCGGCCUGAGAGGGUGACCGGCCACAUUGGGACUGAGAUACGGCCCAGACUCCUACGGGAGGCAGCAGUGGGGAAUAUUGCACAAUGGGCGGAAGCCUGAUGCAGCAACGCCGCGUGCGGGAUGACGGCCUUCGGGUUGUAAACCGCUUUCGCCUGUGACGAAGCGUGAGUGACGGUAAUGGGUAAAGAAGCACCGGCUAACUACGUG